UACGGGGGGGGCAAGCGUUGUUCGGAAUUACUGGGCGUAAAGGGCUCGUAGGUGGCCAACUAAGUCAGACGUGAAAUCCCUCGGCUUAACCGGGGAACGGCGUCUGAUACUGGAUGGCUUGAGUUCGGGAGAGGGAUGCGGAAUUCCAGGUGUAGCGGUGAAAUGCGUAGAUAUCUGGAGGAACACCGGUGGCGAAGGCGGCAUCCUGGACCGAGACUGACACUGAGGAGCGAAAGCCAGGGGAGCAAACGGG
rnacentral:rRNA from 1 species